GACAGAGGGUGCAAGCGUUAUCCGGAAUGAUUGGGCGUAAAGCGUCUGUAGGUGGCUUUUUAAGUUCGCCGUCAAAUCCCAGGGCUCAACCCUGGACAGGCGGUGGAAACUACCAAGCUGGAGUACGGUAGGGGCAGAGGGAAUUUCCGGUGGAGCGGUGAAAUGCGCAGAUAUCAGGAGGAACACCGAUGGCGAAGGCAGGUCUCUGGGCCACUACUGACGCUGAGAAGCGAAAGCAUGGGGAGCGAACAGG
rnacentral:rRNA from 1 species